rnacentral:lncRNA from 1 species
GACAACGAAUUUCAGGACUCCCGGCACGAUUAUUCUCUAGGGAAGUGAGAGUGCCCAUCUCUGUAAAUUCACGCGAGGCGGAGGGGCGUUUGCGUCAAAGCAUCUCCGGAUGACUCGUCACCCAAUCCCGAACGAGAUCUCCUCUGCCCCUCCCUCCCUCCCCCCACCCACCUGUUCCUGUUUCUACAAAGAAGCACACCCCUCAUUCAACACCCAAAAACCAGAACCAAAAAACCACAACCUGACAACAUCAAAAACCGCCCCCACCCACACAAACUCGAUUCACACAUGUUCACUCGCCUUGUCCGAAACACCACCCCCCCCCUCCCACCAGAUAUAAAAAAAGACCAAAGAUCGAUCCUUGAUCCUUCAAUCUCCCCCCCCCCACCAAAACACCACACCAAAAGCAAUAGAACAGAGCACGGAGUCGAUUGCAGAGCGAGAGAGAGAGAGAGAGAGAGAGAGAGAAUUCUCGAGAUAUACGCGCGCUGACCACCUUCGGUUGAUUAAUGCAUCACANNN